AGUGAACGCUGGCGGUAGGCCUAACACAUGCAAGUCGAACGGCAGCACAGUAAGAGCUUGCUCUUACGGGUGGCGAGUGGCGGACGGGUGAGGAAUACAUCGGAAUCUACUUUUUCGUGGGGGAUAACGUAGGGAAACUUACGCUAAUACCGCAUACGACCUACGGGUGAAAGCAGGGGAUCUUCGGACCUUGCGCGAUUGAAUGAGCCGAUGUCGGAUUAGCUAGUUGGCGGGGUAAAGGCCCACCAAGGCGACGAUCCGUAGCUGGUCUGAGAGGAUGAUGAGCCACACUGGAACUGAGACACGGUCCAGACUCCUACGGGAGGCAGCAGUGGGGAAUAUUGGACAAUGGGCGCAAGCCUGAUCCAGCCAUACCGCGUGGGUGAAGAAGGCCUUCGGGUUGUAAAGCCAUUUUGUUGGGAAAGAAAAGCAGCAGGUUAAUACCCCGCUGUUCUGACGGUACCCAAAGAAUAAGCACCGGCUAACUUCGUG
rnacentral:rRNA from 1 species